GGUGGCUCAGUGGUAGAGCGCAUGCCUUGCAUGCCAGGGGCCCUGGGUUCGAUUCCCCAGCACCA
rnacentral:tRNA from 1 species